GUUUUCCAGUACAGUAGGGUGACUAUAGUUAACAGCAAAGUAUUAAAUAUUUAAAAAUACUUUGCUCUUUUUCAAAGGGUUUGGGAAAGGUAGCUGUCUUUUAGGAAGAAGACUCAGAGUAUUGGGACAAGAGCGCCUAGGCCAUGUUUGCUGGGUCCCCUGGAGAAAUAGAAUCAACCCAUCUACAUUUAGACCUUGGCUUCCUAAUGUUAUCAGGUGAUUCUGUGAGCAUAAAAAUAAAGCUGUGCUUUUUGGAAACGGAAAGUCUCAUUAUGUUUGAGAUUUGAAUUCCACAAAAGAGACACCAUGUUAGACUUCCUUGACCUCCUUUCAGUAAUACAGUUACUGUUUUGAGAGUACCUUGAUACUCUCAAGUACUGAGCGAGGAACAUUCACAGACGUUAUUUCAUCAGCUGAGUGUAAAAA
rnacentral:lncRNA from 1 species